rnacentral:lncRNA from 1 species
UCUUCACUUCCUUCAUUUGGAACUUUAUCCUCUUCUUCCUGACGAAUCUCCUUGUGCUUCUUGCAUGAGAUGGAAGAGUCUGCUGGUUUCACAUCAAUGUCAGCACUGUCUGUGCCAACCCCUUCAUGGUCAGUUGUUUCUAGGCCGUUCUUUUCAACAGCAAGAACAUUAUCUAUGUCAUGCUUUUUCUCUUCUGCUUCGGCUUCCUUCAUAUCUGUUUCUUCUGUUUCUGCUGCAGGUAAUGCAGAGUCCAAAUCCACAGUAUUGAUACUUCCCUCUGCUGAGGUUUCUUCUUCAGUGUUCUUCUUGGACUCCUUAGGAUCAAAGGAAGAGCUACAAACAAGGUCUUCUUGGAUUUCUGUUGGUGUUAUUUCUUCAUUUGACUCCUU